rnacentral:rRNA from 1 species
CAAUAGCGUAUAUUAAAGCUGUUGCGGUUAAAAAGCUCGUAGUUGGAUUUCUGUCAAGGACAACUGGUCCGCCCUCCGGGUGAGCACAUAGUUUGGUCUUGACAUCUUGCUGGAAGCUGUUGCUGCACUUGGCUGUGUGGCAGCACUUUCACUUUGAGGAAAUUGGAGUGUUUCAAGCAGGCACAUGCCUUUGGACACAGUAGCAUGGAAUAAUUAGAUUGGGCUUUUGCUCCAAUUUGUCGGUUUCUGGAGCUGAGGUGAGUAUUAAUGGGGAUUGUUGGGGGCAUCCGAAUUUAGCCGUCAGAGGUGAAAUUCUUGGAUCUGCUAAAGACGGACAACUGCGAAAGCGUUUGCCCAGGAUGUUUUCAUUGA